AGAACAAAACGAUUUUGAUGAAGAAAACAUGAUAAGAUUGUAUUAAAACAGAGUAAAGGUUCAGAAGAUCUUCUCCAAAUGGUUUUGAGAUGAACUCCUUUACAAAUCUUCACAAAUCACACCAAAACAAGUACAAAACACUCAAAUCUUCUCUCUAGAACUUGUAAAUCUCCUCCUUGGUCGCCCCUGGUCUUUUCUGAGUCUCAAAGGUCGAGUUCUUCUCUGAAUUAUUGAGGGGAGUGGGUAAAAAGGAGUGAAAAGCUCGUUUGUGCGUGUGGAGCCCGUAGAGCCUGAGAUCGGUCGAUCCACAUAGACCGGAUCGGUCGAUCUAGUGCAUGAAAGCAUAGGAUCGGUCGAUCCACAUUGACCGGAUCGGUCGAUCCCACGUCCUGUGCGAUCAAUACUUCAUUCGGUCCAUUGUUCGGUCUAUCUUGCUUCUGAAUAAAUCCCGAAUGCGUUCUUUUCUUUCAAGCUAUCUAGUAACCUGCAUAUUACACUUAAGAACACCAAAACGCAUCAAAUAGACCAAAACAUUAAUUAAAACCGACCAUUUAAUUGCUCCAAAACGAGUUUAAAACCGUUAAAAACACGGAAUAUCA
rnacentral:lncRNA from 1 species